rnacentral:lncRNA from 1 species
UGGUGUUUUUUUCAAUGGAAUUUUUUGGGUAUUUGAUCAAACAUAUAACUAUGUUAACUUCUUCAAUUUCUUAAACAUUUUAAGUGGUAAGCUGUUGUUGAUUCAGAAAUACAUGCCGCCGCUCGCAAAAUUUCAAACUGCAUUAUCUCUAAAACGACAUAAGAUAUCUCAAAUCUGUUAAAUGAUAAAUGAUCUACAGUUAAAGGAC